AGCAACAGCCAUAUCACCCUGCAGCCCAAGACUGGGCGCCCACUGAAGCUAAGCAGGGUUGAACCUGGUCAGUACCUGGAUGGGAGUAAUCCUGGGAAAACUAGGUUGCUGCUGGAA
rnacentral:rRNA from 1 species